rnacentral:rRNA from 1 species
UAGAUGCGAGAGUAGAGCAUAUCAAUAAGCGGAGGAAAAGAAACUAACAAGGAUUCCCCUUAGUAACGGCGAGUGAAGCGGGAAGAGCUCAAAUUUGAAAUCUUCAAGGGUUUACCUUGACGAAUUGUAGUUUAAAGAAGUGUUUUCUGUUGGAGUUUUGGUAAAAGUUCUUUGGAAUAGGACAUCAUAGAGGGUGAGAAUCCCGUAUUUGAUCCGUUACUUUCCAGCUGUGUGAUACACUUUCAAAGAGUCGGAUUGUUUGGGAAUGCAGUCCAAAAUGGGUGGUAAAUUUCAUCUAAAGCUAAAUAUUGGCGAGAGACCGAUAGCGAACAAGUACCGUGAGGGAAAGAUGAAAAGAACUUUGAAAAGAGAGUUAAACAGUACGUGAAAUUGUCAAAAGGGAAGCGUUUGACACCAGUGUUGUUUAGUUGAAAAUCAAUUCAAUAAUUUUUGAUUUUAAGUAGUAUUGACUUCAUCAGCUUGCUGCUUUCUUUUCAGGAAUUAUUGAAUGCACUUUUCAGUUAACAAGUCAACAUCAAUUUCUUUUGUUGUAAAAGGGUAAGAGGAAGGUGGCUUACGCUUCGGCGUAAGUGUUUAUAGCCUUUUACCUCUGCAAUCGGAGAGAUUGAGGACAGCAGCGUAGACUCUUCGGGGUUAGAUACACUUGUGCUAAGCUAUAGCCUUGUAUAGACAACUUGUUGACUAUGCUCAGUCAUGUAGCUUACUCGCUUGUGCUAUUUUACCUACGCUUAGGAUGUUGACACACACGCGUGCUCG